rnacentral:rRNA from 1 species
UACAGAGGGUGCAAGCGUUGUUCGGAAUUAUUGGGCGUAGAGCGCGUGUAGGCGGCUUAGCAAGUCGGGCGUGAAAGCCCUCGGCUCAACCGAGGAAGUGCACCCGAAACUGCUGAGCUUGAGUGCCGGAGAGGAUGGCGGAAUACCCCAAGUAGAGGUGAAAUUCGUAGAUAUGGGGUGGAACACCGGUGGCGAAGGCGGCCAUCUGGACGGUAACUGACGCUGAGACGCGAAAGCGUGGGGAGCAAACAGG